GGGGAUAUAACUCAGUUGGUAGAGUGUCGCUUUUGCAUAGCGAAUGUCAGCAGUUCAAAUCUGCUUAUCUCCACA
rnacentral:tRNA from 1 species